AAUGAAAGAAUCACUAUAAUCUAUAUUUAAUUAAAAAUUUAAAGUUGAUCUAAAAAAAUUAAACAGACUACUUAAAAUUUUUAAGAAUAAAAUUACUAAAGUAAAUUAUAACUAGUAAAUUAUGUGCCAGCAACUGCGGUUACACAUAAAGUUAGCACAAUUAAUAUAAAAUCAAUUUUUACAAAAACAAACUUAAUUUUAAAUAAGUAAAACAAUUAAAUUAAUAAAAACAAAUAAAACAACAUUUUAAAAUCAAUAAAUAAACAAGGAUUAGAUACCCAAUUAUAAUAGAAAAAUAUUGGUAGUAAAAUAAAUCAAACCCUUAAAGCUUGGCAGUUGUAGUUUUUUAGAGAAACUUGUUUUAUAAUUGUAAAUUCUCAUUAAAUUUAACUUUUAUUAAAAGUUUAUAUACCGCCGUUCCAUUGAAGUAAUAUAAAUAAAAUAUCUAGAUAAACAAUAAUUAAAAAAUCAGGUCAAGGUAUAACCCAUAUUUAAGUAAAAAUUAGUUACAAAUAAGAAAAAAUUAACAAAAAUAUUUUUAAAACAAAAUCCAAAAUAGAAUCUAAAAAUAAUAAAAACAUUAAAAAUUUAAACUGAAAUUAUUAAUUAUAAUGCACAUAUCGCCCGUCACCAUCUUAAACAUCACAAAGAUGUAAGUCGUAAC
rnacentral:rRNA from 2 species